GACAGAAUUCAGGUAGGUAAUUUGAAAUUUCAUAGUAUUCUGAACAUUAUUGAUUUGGUACUGAAGGUUCUUGCAUGAGAACCCACGUAUAUAUCAAAUAUUUUGAGAUAGUUAAGCUGCGUUGUUGAGAGUAAGGAAUUACACAGGAAGGUCUUUGUUGGCAAAGAAUUUGUAUAUGAUGGGAAAAAGAUGUUAUUAAUAUUAGGGUUUUUUAAAAGAAUAAUUUUUAGAAUUUAGAAUUUAUAAUAAGAAAUUAGAUUUUAGAAUUUUGAAUUCAUAAUGUUAAUUAAUAUAAAAGAUUGGUCAUGACAAUAGUAUUAAAACAAAUAAAAGCAUUUGGCGGCAAAGAAUUUGUGUAUGAUGAAUAAAACAUGCUAUUAAUAUUAGAGCGUCUAUGACAGAACAAUUUUGAGAAUUUAGAGUUCGUUAUAGGUAGAAUUCAUAAUUCAAAUUUCAAUUGCAUGCUUUUUUCUGCUGUAUAUAAAAAGUUCAAAUUAAGUGUCCAGAAUUGUAUGAAUCAAAGAUGUUCAUAGAUGUUUAAAUUUGUUUUUUACUGUUUAAUUAGUUUAUACUGUGCCUAAGUUAAUUGGCAAAUGAUAAUUUACAAAAGUUCAACGUGAUGUUCAAAACUAAGUUAUAUCAGUAGUCUGGUAAAUUAGUGAGAAAAACUUGGUGCUCAACAAAAGUUAAACAUAGUGAACCUAUAAUAUUAUGAUAUAUAUUAUUAGGAGAGUAAAAUCAUUAACUUCAUAUAUACAUGUACUGAAUGAAAUUUUAAAUUCUUUUUUUUCAAAACAAAUUGUACGUAAAUUACAACAUAGAACAGAAAUAUAAUUGUGGAAUCGCCAAAUUUUUUUAAAAAAUAGUGAAAUGUAAGACUUACAGGUUCAAAUUCCCAACAUGUGAACUGAGUAGCUGUUUUUCAACACUAAAUAAUUUUACCACUGCUAUCAAAUUUUUCAGAACUAAAUAAUUUUACUACCUUCAUUUUGACGGCAAGUCUGUGCAACAACAAUUCAAAGCGCGAGCCUUCAUUGUGUAAUCAUCAUGAACGUAUACAUAAAACAAUUAUAAAGAAUGUUUGCGUCUACUUGGAGCAUGGCCUCCUGUCACGCUCGGGUACCAGCGGAAGCAUAUCUGGUACGUGCACAGACCCGCCAUACACCUGCAGUAUAUAAGGCGUCUACAAAGCAAAACGACAGGAAGUAGAACAUAGGAAAUCCUAUCCUGAUAUCAGAGCAAAGUACAAGUCGAUAUACUAUAAGCAAAAGAACAAAAGAAAAUACAAUUCAAAAUCUCGUUAAAAGAGAAGUAUCACAACUGUAGUUCUCGGUCCAAAUAGUACAUAUACAUCCUGGGUAUACAAAAAUAGAUACAAUAGUAGUCUCUCUAUACAUAGGGACAUCAAAACCCGAAAUCAAUACUCAAAUCGACAAAUAGAACGUCGAUAACGAAAAAGUCGAGUCGAUUACCUUCUCAAGCUUCCAACCAGCACCUCAUUGGCUCAGGGCUGCGAAAAGCCCUCCAAAAUACUCCCUCACACGUCCACGUAGGUUCAGCGACGCUCGCAACCAGCGGAAAACCAACGUUGCGACGAAAACAAGCAAAAUCGGCGAUUUCGUUGUAGAGGGAGAAAAACCCUAGAGAGAGAGAGAGAAAAUGGUGCAAGGGCCUUUCUCUGAGCUCUAGCAUCAUCUAUGGAGCUCCAGAGGUCGUGCUGGAUUCAAAUAGAUAGGAUCAAGAUGUGAAAUUACCAAUAUAACCUUGCUGCCACGUUUUACCAGUGUGUACCGGUACACCAUGAUGGCUGUACCGGUACACAAAGCAGAAAACUGCUGAUUUCGCCAGAUCAGCGCACUUUCUUGCUUUUAACCUUCCAAUCACUCUCUAACUUGUUCAAAAACUUGUCCAAGUCAUUUAAAAUAUGUAGGAUAGUUCCACAUAUCAUUCCACACACUCGAACUCCGUAAUUUGCAAAAGUUCAGUGUAUUACACCUCCACAGUAAGACUAUGGGGAAGGAAAAAAUGUGAUCUCAAUCUCCACCAAAGCCUGCUCGAUU
rnacentral:lncRNA from 1 species